UAGGAUAAGUCUGUGGGUUGGGCUAGUCUGAUGUGAGACAGUGAGAGAAUUUAUUAAGAGGAGUCCGUCAAACAGCUGAGAUAAUCAGUCAGAAGGGAUGCUAGUCCCAUUAAUUUCCAUGGGACUUCCUACUGAAAUUCUGCUGAGCUUCACAGCCUGGGAUAUUUAUUGUAGCAACAUUGAAAAUAGAUACACACAUGCUCAAACUUCUCAGCUCCAAGAAAGUGAUGUGUCUCCAAGUCUUAGAUAAGGAUCUUGUUUCAGCUCUGCAGAUGAUGGGAAACUGAAAUAGUCUGGAACAACCUGUGCAGAUUACAAUAUCAGUAAAAGUUAUGCACAUGCACACACAGAGAGAUGCUAGAUUGUGUGGAUUAUAGGCAUCUGAAAUGGUAGUAAGAAGAAAGUCUAAAAAUGUCGUGCCAGCCGGAUGAAAAUUGAAGAAGUUGAGAAGUCCCAAGCUCCCUUUGGUGUGCAAAACUAGUUGUGUUGUGCUUUGGGUCCACAUUCCUGUAUAGUUUAAUUUAUCAUUUUCAGCUUUUCAUCCAUCUACUUUAUGCAGGUUAUUUUACUAAUAUAAUUGGAUGUCAUGCUCCAUAGUGGUGUUUUGCAGCUGACGGAUGAUUUAAAAUGUAAGCUUUACGAACACGACAAUGUCAA